UACGAAGGGGGCUAGCGUUGCUCGGAAUUACUGGGCGUAAAGCGUGCGUAGGCGGUUUCUUAAGUCCGUUGUGAAAGCCCUGGGCUCAACCUGGGAACUGCGAUGGAUACUGAGGAGCUGGAGUACGGUAGAGGAAGGUGGAAUUCCAGGUGUAGCGGUGAAAUGCGUAGAUAUUGGGAGGAACACCAGUGGCGAAGGCGGCUCACUGGACCGGAACUGACGCUGAGGCGCGAAAGCCAGGGGAGCAAACGGG
rnacentral:rRNA from 1 species